rnacentral:rRNA from 1 species
CAUUACCGAGUGAAAACUCCCAAACCCCAUGUGAACCUUACCUAUCGUUGCUUCGGCGGACACGCCCCGGCGCAUCCCUCACGGGAGAGCCGGACCCAGGCGCCCGCCGGAGACCCCAAACCCUCAUGUUUUUAGUGGUUUUCUCCUCUGAGUGACACAUAAACAAAUAAAUAAAAACUUUCAACAACGGAUCUCUUGGCUCUGGCAUCGAUGAAGAACGCAGCGAAAUGCGAUAAGUAAUGUGAAUUGCAGAAUUCAGUGAAUCAUCGAAUCUUUGAACGCACAUUGCGCCCGCCAGUAUUCUGGCGGGCAUGCCUGUCCGAGCGUCAUUUCAACCCUCAGGCCCCCAGUGCCUGGCGUUGGGGAUCGGCGUGGCGUCCUCCGGGACGCUGCCGGCCCCGAAAUUCAGUGGCGGUCUCGCUGUAGCCCUCCUCCGCGUAGUAGCACAACCUCGCGGCCUGGAGCUCGGCGGUGGCCAUGCCGUAAAACACCCCACUUCUGAAAGUUGACCUCGGAUCAGGUAGGAAUACCCGCUGAACUUAAGCAUAUCAAUAAGCGGAGGAAAAGAAACCAACAGGGAUUGCCUCAGUAACGGCGAGUGAAGCGGCAACAGCUCAAAUUUGAAAUCUGGUCCCCAGGGCCCGAGUUGUAAUUUGCAGAGGAUGCUUUUGACAAGGUGCCUUCCGAGUUCCCUGGAACGGGACGCCAUANAGGGUGAGAGCCCCGUCUGGUCGGACACCGAGUCUCUGUAAAGCUCCUUCGACGAGUCGAGUAGUUUGGGAAUGCUGCUCUAAAUGGGAGGUAUAUGUCUUCUAAAGCUAAAUACCGGCCAGAGACCGAUAGCGCACAAGUANAGUGAUCGAAAGAUG